UUCCUCAUUACUGUGGGUCGUGACCACCU
rnacentral:sRNA from 1 species